rnacentral:lncRNA from 1 species
CCUCGAAUAAUCACCCUAACGACUCUCCUCUGAGUUUUUGCAUUUCUUAAUUAAGGAGCGACUGCUUCCAUUCCAGAAGUCCUUUGUGAUUUUAAUUUACAUGUUGAUGGGUUCUACGUUUGCAAGCUCUGAAGCUGCUCUUCUGGGCUGAGACAGUCGCCCAUACAUGGUGCGCUUGUAUGUCCUCGCGCAUGCUGGGUCUGAACGUCGACAGAGGGCUCAGCUGCCCCCUUCAGGAAUGGGAGGAAAUUUCUGGGGUUUUCUCCAGUCGGAAUCCUCGAUGUGGAGCAAACUGUCCCCACAUUUAGUGGUUUAAAACGAUCGCGAUAUGUUGGUCGUGAUUUUGUGAGUCAGAUGGAGAAAUGGUCAUCAGAGUAGCCCUGGCUGGGGUCUUUGGAGAGGUUGCCAUCAGACGUCCGCAGGGGUCAGUCGUCCCAAGGCUCCGGUGAGCCAGAUGUCCCAGGCGGCUCCCACACAGGGCUGACAACGGACUCCGGCUGUUGACGGGGAACUCAGCCGGGGCUGCCCAGAGGCCCACAGGUGGCUUCUCCAGCAUGGUGGUCCCACCUUGUCGGGCUUUUACGUGGUGGCAGGGGCAGGCUGCCCCGGGGGUGAGCCUCCUAAGAGAACCAGGUGCAAGCAGCAGAGACUUCUCUGGCUUAGCCUCCGUAGUGAUUUUCUACCACUUCCAUUGCCUCCUGUUGCUCACAACCAAGUCACCAAGAGAGGCCCAGGUUCAAGGGGAAGGAACGGAGUAGACCCCCGUGUCUUGAAGAAGAGCGUCAAGAGCUUUUCGCGUACUGGAUACAUUCUCUAGAAUAACAGCCCGAGGCGAAUUAGACUCCUCUUCCCUUUCAUUGGUUCUCCACCAAAUUAAGUCCUGAAUUUCCCCUUACUUUUGUCCCUUCGUGCCAUAGAAAAGAAAGACAUUUUCUCGGGCUUUCCUUUUUGGCCUUUAAAUUCUCAGUUCACAGAGAGGAAAACAAUGUAUCUCCGCUAUUUAUUUAUUUAUUCAUUCAUUCAUUCAUUUAUUUAUUUCUUCUUUCACGUGACAAGGGAUGCGCUCAGCACUGUACCGGUCGGUAGAACCACAAACGGGCGCCGCCCGCAAGGAAGGCCUGACCCGGCAAAGCGAGAACCAGCUGUGUGUUUUCAGUCAUCUUACAGUCCUGGGCGUGCGACUCUCAGUAAUAACGACUCUUCCGGCGGUCUGCCUGGGAGGGAAUGGAUGUGAAUAGACAAUAUCUGACAAGAAACACAAGACUCCAAGUCUGAUGAAGCUAUAAAAGAUUUCAGAUGUACAAAAACCUGGCUUUGCCACCUCCGGCUCCUCUGCAUUGUUAGUAAACUGCAAACAACUCCAUGUGACCAGUGAAAUGUCUGAAUGGGCGUGUCUCUUUCCUUUCCUUUUUUUUUUUUUUUUUAAUGUUUAAUCCUUUAUAUUGAGUGAGGCAGAGAGAGGGAAAGCGCUGGGGAGGGGCAGAGAGAGAACCCCAAGCAGACUCCACACUGUCAGUGAAGAGACCAACGCGGGGCUCGAACUCACGAACUGAGAGAUCAUGCCCUGAGCUGAAACCAAAAGUCAGAUGCUUAACUGACUGAGCCACCCAGGUGCCCCCACAUGUCUCUUUUCAGCUAGUCAUCUGUUAUGCCCAGAAUUCGUGAUCCCCAAAUACCGCCAGGGAGCCGAGUCCGAUGCAAAAGCAAAAGAGCCUUUAUUCGAGCUAGCUCGAGCUCAAUCCCCUACCUGCACCAACGCAGCGGUGAGAUACCAGGGAGAGAGAGCGAGUUUCAAAAGGGCAAAGGUUUUAUUGGGGCCUAGGGGCAGUUGGUGAGGUAAUGACUGUGGCCUUAGCUGAUUGGCUGGAGAAGGGUCGUGGCCUCGCCCGAUUGGCUGGGGAAGGGCCGGAGUCCUGUUACGCAGGUCGCUGGGCGUGUUUUGAUCAGGAAGUUUGAACAGGUGAGCGGGAGGUUACUCAAGGAGAGGAGGCGCGGUCUGAGGUUUCUGUGAUUUUUCCCGGAAAAGGGGUCAUGUCGGGGACAUAGUCACUCAAGGUGGAGGACACAGAACAAGAUGGAGUCGGCUGGUGUAGGCCGACCCUUUCACAUCAACACAGUAAGUACUGUUGAGCCCCUGCCAUGUGCCAGGGACAUGCCAACCAUGAGGGAUGAACUGGCGAACAUGAUAUACUGUAGCCACCUUGCUUUUGGCACAUGGCUGUAUUUUGGACACA